GUAUGUGCGGCGAUCUGGCUGCGACAUCUGUCACCCCAUUGAUCGCCAGGGUUGAUUCGGCUGAUCUGGCUGGCUAGGCUGGUGUCCCCUUCCUCCCUCACCGCUCCAUGUGCGUCCCUCCCGAAGCUGCGCGCUCGGUCGAAGAGGACGACCUUCCCCGAUAGAGGAGAACCGUUCUUCGGUCAAGGGUAUACGAGCAGCUGCGCUCCCCUGCUAGAACCUCCAAACAAGCUCUCAAGGUCCAUUUGUAGGAGAACGUAGGGUAGUCAAGCUUCCAAGACUCCAGACACAUCCAAAUGAGGCGCUGCACGUGGCAGUCUGCCUUUAAAA
rfam:Ailuropoda melanoleuca scaffold639_47, whole genome shotgun sequence.